CCGAGUUUUCAACUCCCAAACCCCUGUGAACAUACCAAUCGUUGCCUCGGCGGGAGAGCCCCGGGCGUUGGCGAAAGCCUCGCACCGGUAUCAGGCGCCCGCCGGAGGACCCAAACAAACUCUUGUUUUAUACAGUAUCUUCUGAGUAACACGAUUAAAUAAAUCA
rnacentral:misc_RNA from 1 species